rnacentral:rRNA from 1 species
AACGCUGGCGGCAGGCCUAACACAUGCAAGUCGAACGGUAACAGGAAGCAGCUUGCUGCUUCGCUGACGAGUGGCGGACGGGUGAGUAAUGUCUGGGAAACUGCCUGAUGGAGGGGGAGUAACUACUGGAAACGGUAGCUAAUACCGCAUAACGUCGCAAGACCAAAGAGGGGGACCUUCGGGCCUCUUGCCAUCAGAUGUGCCCAGAUGGGAUUAGCUAGUUGGUGGGGUAACGGCUCACCAAGGCGACGAUCCCUAGCUGGUCUGAGAGGAUGACCAGCCACACUGGAACUGAGACACGGUCCAGACUCCUACGGGAGGCAGCAGUGGGGAAUAUUGCACAAUGGGCGCAAGCCUGAUGCAGCCAUGCCGCGUUGUAUGAAGAAGGCCUUCGGGUUGUAAAGUACUUUCAGCGGGGAGGAAGGUGUUGUGGUUAAUAACCGCAGCAAUUGACGUUACCCGCAGAAGAAGCACCGGCUAACUCCGUGCCAGCCGCUGC